GAUGAACGCUAGCGGCAGGCCUAAUACAUGCAAGUCGAGGGGUAGAGAAGAGCUUGCUUUUCUUGAGACCGGCGCACGGGUGCGUAACGCGUAUGCAACCUACCUUUAUCAGGGGGAUAGCCUCUCGAAAGAGAGAUUAACACCGCAUAAAAACACAGUACGGCAUCGUACAAUGUUCAAAUAUUUAUAGGAUAAAGAUGGGCAUGCGUGACAUUAGCUAGUUGGUGAGGUAAGGGCUCACCAAGGCGACGAUGUCUAGGGGAUCUGAGAGGAUGACCCCCCACACGGGUACUGAGACACGGACCAGACUCCUACGGGAGGCAGCAGUAAGGAAUAUUGGUCAAUGGGGGCAACCCUGAACCAGCCAUGCCGCGUGCAGGAAGACGGCCCUACGGGUUGUAAACUGCUUUUAUACGGGAAUAAACCCCUUUACGUGUAAAGGGUUGAAUGUACUGUAAGAAUAAGGAUCGGCUAACUCCGUGCCAGCAGCCGCAGUAAGAC
rnacentral:rRNA from 1 species